CUCAUUAAAUCAGUUAUAGUUAUUUGAUGGUCUCUUUUGUCUUUUUUUACCUACUUGGAUAACCGUGGUAAUUCUAGAGCUAAUACAUGCGCAAGGUCCCGAGCACGGGGGGCAGGGCUUCACGGCCCUGUCCUCGCAUGCGCAGAGGGAUGCAUUUUAUUAGGUUAAACAACCAGCAUCUUUUCAUUUCUGGUGAUUCAUAGUAACCCUUUCGGAUCGCAUUCAUG
rnacentral:rRNA from 1 species